ACCAAGAGCACAGGAAAAAGAGCCAACAGACAGGUCAAAAAGAACUGAAGUCUGCCUCUUCUACUUCUCUUUUAAAGUUGCUUUGGUUUCCUUUUGUCCUCUUUCCAAGCCUGUUCAAGUCUGAGAUAGAUGAAAAGAGCAGCCAAAGAAACAGAUCUGUUGAAGCAUCAAUUGGAAAGGAUGGGAGGGUUGGAGGAGGAGCACAGCUGGAUGACUACAUUAGAUUGUGGCAUAUGAGGUCACUUUAUCUGUUGAAGCAUCAAUAGGAAAGGAUGAAAGGGAGGGAGGCAGGAAGAGGAAAACACAGAAGAGCAGAUGAGGAGCACUCUAUGUUCUGCUUCCAUGUGGAUUGACAGCAUUGCUUUCAUGAGCUCCUGGAGGACACCAUGGAGGAAGAGGGAGAGGGUCUAUGAUAGGCAGUUUGCCAUGGCCCUAAAUGGGCUUUUGGAUGUUAAUUCUUCCUGCUUUAUAUCAUACAACUUUACAAUAAAAAUGAAUUGCAAGCAUCAGCCUUUUCUGUUUGAUUGUGAUCAGUGCAGUAGUAAUAAGAUUGGUGUAAACCCAAUGAUUAUUCUGGCAGUAGUGUUCAGUUGGUAUAAAAUAGUGUGAUAAGAAAUUAUCAACAUCUUACGAAAACAAUAUGGAGAUAGAAAUAUCAAAAGAAGUGUUGCAUUUACCUAGUAAUAGCUAUUUCUCCCUCAUAGAGAAUGGUGUCCUUGUUGUGAUCAAUCCAUCGACAAAUGCAUGUAUGCGCGCACACACACCCACAGAGAGUUAGUCAUGAUUUCCCUGAGUCAUCAGACUCUGGUGAAGGUUUCUUUGCAUCUU